AUUGAACGCUGGCGGCAGGCCUAACACAUGCAAGUCGAACGAGUGGCGGACGGGUGAGUAAUGUCUGGGAAACUGCCUGAUGGAGGGGGAUAACUACUGGAAACGGUAGCUAAUACCGCAUACCAUCAGAUGUGCCCAGAUGGGAUUAGCUUGUUGGUGGGGUAACGGCUCACCAAGGCGACGAUCCCUAGCUGGUCUGAGAGGAUGACAAGCAACACGGGAACUGAGACACGGUCCAGAAGCCUACGGGAGGCAGCAGUGGGAAAGAUGGCAAAAUGGGCGAAAGCCUGAUGCAGCCAUGCCGCGUGUAUGAAGAAGGCCUUCGGGUUGUAAAGUACUUUCAGCGGGGAGGCGUUACCCGCAGAGGAAGCACCGGCUAACUCCGUGGCAGCAGCCGCGGUAAUAC
rnacentral:rRNA from 1 species